rnacentral:misc_RNA from 1 species
AACGCACAUUGCGCCUCUCGGUAUUCCGGGAGGCACGCCUGUUCGAGCGCCAUUACACCCUCCAAGCUCUGCUUGAUGUUGGACGCUGUGUUUUCUCUUUUUAGGGGGGGAGACACACGUCUGGAACUUGUAGGCGUCCGUCACUGUCGAGACACCGCGAGCGUAGCAAGACUUUUAGUCAUUUUCGCUCUGUUGGAACUCCAGCGGACUGCCCUUAUGAUUUUAGGGGGGUUAACCCUCUAAAAUCAAAUUCUCAAGAGUUUGGCCUCGGAUCAGGCGGGGAUACCCGCUGAACUUAA